rnacentral:lncRNA from 1 species
GUUUCCUCUCAGUUUUUGAAUGGCCCAAGGGUUCCAUCUGCAUUUAGAAAGGCUGAGUACUGCUUUCUUAUCAAGCUGAGAUAUCGUAAUUUGCAUAGGCAUAUUGCUCAUUGUCACAGUUAUUUAUUUUAAAGAGAAUUUUAAAGAGAAUUGUGACAACAGAGAUGUGUUUCCUACUUUGCAUAUUCAUUUAGGGAUUCUGACCAAAAUAAUUGACAGAUAUGAUUACUUCUUAUACCUUCAGGCUGAGUAUCUGGUUCAUACCCAUAAGAAAAUAGUUUCAUGACCAAUAUUGUUGGCUUCUGGAAUGAUCUACUUAAAUACCCAGAAAACAUUGCAUCUGAAGAAUAUGGUUCCAUGAUGACAGUUUAUGGUUACUGAUUGGCUAACUGCAUGGCUGCUAAAUUUCCUGCCUCUUGAUAGAGGUAAUCCCUUAUGUGAAGGCAGAAGCACAGAGAUGAUGAUAUGCUUUAGACGUUCUUUCGG